rnacentral:rRNA from 1 species
GUGUCAGCAGCCGCGGUAAUACGGAGGGUGCGAGCGUUAUUCGGAAUUACUGGGCGUAAAGCGCGUGCAGGCGGGAAGGUAAGUCUGAUGUGAAAGCCCUGGGCUCAACCCGGGAAGUGCAUUGGAUACUGCUUUUCUUGAGUACUGGAGAGGAAGGGGGAAUUCCCGGUGUAGAGGUGAAAUUCGUAGAGAUCGGGAGGAAUACCAGUGGCGAAGGCGCCCUUCUGGACGGUUACUGACGCUGAGACGCGAAAGCGUGGGGAGCAAACAGGAUUAGAUACCCUGGUAGUCCACGCCGUAAACGAUGAGAACUAGGUGUAGCGGGUACUCAUUCCUGCUGUGCCGUAGCUAACGCGUUAAGUUCUCCGCCUGGGGAUUACGGUCGCAAGACUAAA